AAACAAAAGUUUCAUUCGACUCAUAUAUCCCCUGGAUAUGGCAGGGAGUAUCUACCGGAAGCCGUAAAUUUCCGACUAUGAGUGAGGUUAUUGUGUAU
rnacentral:ncRNA from 2 species